rnacentral:tRNA from 1 species
GCGUUCCUAGCUUAAUUGGUAAAGCCCCAGGUCGUGACCCUGGCCGAUGCCGGUUCGAGUCCGGUGGUUCGCCCCA